rnacentral:rRNA from 1 species
GUGUCAGCAGCCGCGGUAAAACGUAGGAGGCGAGCGUUAUCCGGAUUUACUGGGUGUAAAGCGCGAGCAGGCGGCUCUGUAAGUUGUGCGUGAAAGCGCCCAGGCUCAACCGGGCGAGGACGUGCAAAACUGCAGAGCUUGAGAUAGGUAGAGGCAGAUGGAAUUCCGGGUGUAGUGGUGAAAUGCGUAGAGAUCCGGAGGAACACCAGUGGCGAAGGCGGUCUGCUGGGCCUAUUCUGACGCUCAGACGCGAAAGCAUGGGGAGCGAACGGGAUUAGAUACCCUGGUAGUCC